GAUGAACGCUGGCGGCGUGCUUAACACAUGCAAGUCGAACGGAAAGGCCAGUGCUUGCACUGGUACUCGAGUGGCGAACGGGUGAGUAACACGUGGGUGAUCUGCCCUGCACUUCGGGAUAAGCCUGGGAAACUGGGUCUAAUACCGGAUAGGACAAUGGUUUGGAUGCCGUUGUGGAAAGUUUUUUCGGUGUGGGAUGAGCUCGCGGCCUAUCAGCUUGUUGGUGGGGUAAUGGCCUACCAAGGCGUCGACGGGUAGCCGGCCUGAGAGGGUGUACGGCCAAAUUGGGACUGAGAUACGGCCCAGACUCCUACGGGAGGCAGCAGUGGGGAAUAUUGCACAAUGGGCGCAAGCCUGAUGCAGCGACGCCGCGUGGGGGAUGACGGCCUUCGGGUUGUAAACUCCUUUCGCUAGGGACGAAGCGUAUUUGUGACGGUACCUGGAGAAGAAGCACCGGCUAACUACGUG
rnacentral:rRNA from 1 species